AGUCGAGCGGAAGAAGGGAGCUUGCUCCCGGAUGUUAGCGGCGGACGGGUGAGUAACACGUGGGUAACCUGCCUGUAAGACUGGGAUAACUCCGGGAAACCGGAGCUAAUACCGGAUAGUUCCUUGAACCGCAUGGUUCAAGGAUGAAAGACGGUUUCGGCUGUCACUUACAGAUGGACCCGCGGCGCAUUAGCUAGUUGGUGAGGUAACGGCUCACCAAGGCGACGAUGCGUAGCCGACCUGAGAGGGUGAUCGGCCACACUGGGACUGAGACACGGCCCAGACUCCUACGGGAGGCAGCAGUAGGGAAUCUUCCGCAAUGGACGAAAGUCUGACGGAGCAACGCCGCGUGAGUGAUGAAGGUUUUCGGAUCGUAAAGCUCUGUUGUUAGGGAAGAACAAGUGCAAGAGUAACUGCUUGCACCUUGACGGUACCUAACCAGAAAGCCACGGCUAACUACGUGCCAGCAGCCGCGGUAAUACGUAGGUGGCAAGCGUUGUCCGGAAUUAUUGGGCGUAAAGGGCUCGCAGGCGGUUUCUUAAGUCUGAUGUGAAAGCCCCCGGCUCAACCGGGGAGGGUCAUUGGAAACUGGGAAACUUGAGUGCAGAAGAGGAGAGUGGAAUUCCACGUGUAGCGGUGAAAUGCGUAGAGAUGUGGAGGAACACCAGUGGCGAAGGCGACUCUCUGGUCUGUAACUGACGCUGAGGAGCGAAAGCGUGGGGAGCGAACAGGAUUAGAUACCCUGGUAGUCCACGCCGUAAACGAUGA
rnacentral:rRNA from 1 species